rnacentral:misc_RNA from 1 species
GUUUUAGCAUUAAGCCAUCUGUAGAUCCUGCAUAACCUUUCCCUCAUCUUCCCCCUCCGUGUUGAGAUAAAUUCAAAUGGCACCAAAUCAGAUUUUAUAUCAGGUGCGCUUUCCGCUAACCUAGUGCCCAGUGGCAAUGCCUUUUUCUUAGCAGUAACACCAAUCAAUGUCCAAACCCCAGAGUGCUGCCAUGCAAAGCAUCAACAGCACAUGCUUUUUAUGCCUCAGAUAACUUUUUU